GCCUUGCCUGCAGCGUGUGUCUGCGCGGCUUGCAAGGUGAGACUCAAAUCAGAACACUAAACAUGUAGAUCUGGCCGACGAAGGCUUGCGGACGCGGGUUCAAUUCCCGCCAGCUCCACCA
rnacentral:tmRNA from 1 species